AACGAACGCUGGCGGCAUGCCUAACACGUGCAAGUCGAACGAGAUCUUCGGGUCUAGUGGCGCACGGGUGCGUAACGCGUGGGAAUCUGCCCUUUGGUUCGGAAUAACAGUUGGAAACGACUGCUAAUACCGGAUGAUGACGAAAGUCCAAAGAUUUAUCGCCAGAGGAUGAGCCCGCGUAGGAUUAGCUAGUUGGUGUGGUAAAGGCGCACCAAGGCGACGAUCCUUAGCUGGUCUGAGAGGAUGAUCAGCCACACUGGGACUGAGACACGGCCCAGACUCCUACGGGAGGCAGCAGUGGGGAAUAUUGGACAAUGGGCGAAAGCUUGAUCCAGCAAUGCCGCGUGAGUGAUGAAGGCCCUAGGGUUGUAAAGCUCUUUUACCCGGGAUGAUAAUGACAGUACCGGGAGAAUAAGCCCCGGCUAACUCCGUGCCAGCCGCCGCGGUAA
rnacentral:rRNA from 1 species